UGGGGAAUAUUGGACAAUGGGCGGAAGCCUGAUCCAGCAACGCCGCGUGAGGGAUGACGGCCUUCGGGUUGUAAACCUCUUUCAGUACCGACGAAGCGAAAGUGACGGUAGGUACAGAAGAAGGACCGGCCAACUACGUGCCAGCAGCCGCGGUAAUACGUAGGGUCCGAGCGUUGUCCGGAAUUAUUGGGCGUAAAGGGCUCGUAGGCGGUUUGUCGCGUCGGGAGUGAAAACAGCGGGCUUAACUCGUUGCUUGCUUUCGAUACGGGGCAGACUAGAGGUAUGCAGGGGAGAAUGGAAUUCCUGGUGUAGCGGUGAAAUGCGCAGAUAUCAGGAGGAACACCGGUGGCGAAGGCGGUUCUCUGGGCAUUACCUGACGCUGAGGAGCGAAAGUGUGGGGAGCGAACAGGAUUAGAUACCCUGGUAGUCCACACCGUAAACGUUGGGCGCUAGGUGUGGGGUCCUUUCCACGGAUUCCGUGCCGUAGCUAACGCAUUAAGCGCCCCGCCUGGGGGAGUACGGCCGCAAGGCUAAAAACUC
rnacentral:rRNA from 1 species